AAUAUUCCCAUUGUGGGACAAAUAAAGGUUUAUCUUAUCUUAUUCAUUCAGGCCUUGUACUAUGGACAGCAGCAGCCGUCAGAAAGUGAAGUUCAAGUGGCUACGAACCAUUGUGUCCCCGGCCGGUUCUCUCCAGGGCAAAGAUGUCCCGUCCACGCCCUCAUCUUCCAGUGACUCAUCCUUCACCUCCCCCAUCAGAGAAUCCCCGGGAUCGGCUGCUUUCGGAGACCUGACCCUCUCUACUCCCAAGAGAAAGCCAGAGCGUGACAACAUGUCAUCCUCCACCAAAGUCAAACUCAGGAAGCUCUCCAAGAAGCGCUUUCAGGCCUUUGCAUCUCCUGAGGAGCCAGCCAUCCACAAAACUCCCCAAAAAUCAGAUACAAAUUCCCAACUGCAAACCCCGUCUUCUUCUUACACUUUUGUUUUGAAAAGAAAAGAGCGGACAUCGGAGGAGGGCUCCAAAGUCAUCUACAAACAUGCCCUGAUGGCUGCUAUUGGCAACACAGGGGCGAAGAAGAGCACCAAGAAAGAGCUAGAGUCAUGCCGACCAGAGGAGACCAGCCCAGUGUCUGUGCAGCUGGAAACUAUGGAUGUAAAUGAAAACGCAUUAGGAGUACCAAAGUGGUCCCCCCCAGCGCUGGUCCUAGACUCGGAGGAUGAAGACGGAAGUGCCGUAGCAAACACUGAAAACAGGAGCUUUGCGGUAAAAGAGGAUGGUUCACCAAGCA
ensembl:lncRNA